UCACUCUUGUUUCUCUUCAGAUCGUAUAAAUCUUUCGCCUUUUACUAAAGAUUUCCGUGGAGAGGAUCAAUAAGAGUUCAAUUCAAUUUUUUGAUGCCCUGCUGAAAAGCGGGGCU
ensembl:snRNA U5 U5 spliceosomal RNA